GAUGAACGCUGGCGGCGUGCUUAACACAUGCAAGUCGAACGGGAUCCAAGGGGUGCUUGCACUUUUUGGUGAGAGUGGCGAACGGGUGAGUAACACGUGAGUAACCUGUCCUUUUCUUUGGGAUAAGCAUUCGAAAGGGUGUUUAAUACCUUAUGUUCUGUCUGCCUCGCAUGGGGUGGGUGGGAAAGGCUUUGGCCGGAUUUGGGUGGGCUCGCGGUCUAUCAGCUUGUUGGUGGGGUGAUGGCUUACCAAGGCUUUGACGGGUAGCCGGCCUGAGAGGGUGGUCGGUCACAUGGGGACUGAGAUACGGCCCAGACUCCUGCGGGAGGCAGCAGUGGGGGAUAUUGCACAAUGGGCGAAAGCCUGAUGCAGCGACGCCGCGUGGGGGAUGAAGGCCUUCGGGUUGUAAACUUCUUUUGCUCUGAACAAGGCAUGCCAGUGGGUGUGUUGAGUGUAGGGGUUGAUGAGCGCCGGCUAACUACGUG
rnacentral:rRNA from 1 species